GCAUCGUGGAAAGCUUAAAAGCUUUUGAGCUGCUUGGAAAAAUUCCUCGGGUGGUUUACUUAGUUUCCCCUGUCCAUAGUGAUAACCAUCUUUUUGCAGCACACUUGCAUCUUCAUAUCAGAAAUUGUACCAAGGAAAGUUGGAAGUCAUAGGAUACCCUCUAAACGAAUAAAAGUAACUUUUUGAAGCUGCAGCGGUCAAACACCUGAAAGUCCUCUUUCGUGAUGUCCAGUAGUGCUCUUCGUCAAAAUUAAAAAGCUCAUCCCGUAUUUCCCAGAAACACUGCACAAAAAAUUGUGACGCUAUUGCAUAAGUUUAAAGGUGUCAGCGCAAUCAGCAAGAACGAAUUAUUAUGCCCAUGAAUAUGAAUCAAAUGGCUACAUCAAAGGCCAUUUACACAUAGGCAGGUACGAGUAUCUGGUGCGAGUCUAAGCGUAUUACCAUUCCAAACUUAAAUCUCAAUAUACUAGGUCAUGUGUCCAAAAUUAGGUAUGAGUACGGGAACACGUCAUCUACACUUAGAUCCAUGGGCAUAUUUCCUAACGGCUUUAAGACAAUUGGUGAGAUAACAAACUGCCUAGCAGCUAGCAGACACUUAGAUCCAUGUUCAAUAUGUCUUCAGAGGCCAAUUUAUUAUCACAGAAGCUAUAACACAGAAUAAAUUAAGGCACAAUUGAGAACUCGUGAACUUAAAAUUCAUCAGAAAAGAAGAAUAAGAUGAUUGAAAUUGAAGACACAUUACUUAUUAUCACCAGGUUUUCUAGAAUCACUUUCUUUCUAACACUUCUUUUCCUCCCAAGGGGAAUUAGGAAAUUCUUACAUACCACUUGUAUACUUUUGAAUCCGCACACCAGUUAAGAUACAACUAUUGUACACUGCAUGUUUCGGUCAUGCUGAGAAAGCAAAAGAGCAAGCAGUCUAUUAGGAAAAACAGAAAUAAAUACAAGCACAAAUGGCAUAGCAGCGCCACCAGAAUUACAAUCUUUAGAUGCGGCAAUAAAUAAUAAAAGAAGUAAACUAGGUUUCACCGAGAAAGUGGAGCGAUCCGUUUCACUUAUAGAACAUAACUACUGCAUCAGGAGAGCAUCGUGGAAGUUAAAAGCUUUUGAGCUGCUUGGAAAAAUUCCUCGGGUGGUUUACUAGUUUCCCCUGCCAUAUUGAUAACCAUCUUUUGCAGCACCCUUGCAUUCUUCAGCAGAAAUUGUACCAAAGGAAAGUUGGAGUCAUAGGAAUACCCUCCUAAACGAGUAAAAGUAACUUUUUUGAGAUGCAGCGUCAAACACCUGAAAGUCCUCUUUCGUGAUGUCCAGUAGUGCUCUUCAUCAAAAUUAAAAAGCUCAUCCCGUAUUUCCCAGAAACACUGCACAAAAAAUUGUGACUCUAGUGCAUCAGUUUAAGGUGUCAGCGCAAUCAGCAAGACUGAAAUUCUUAUGGCCCAUGAAUAUGAUCAAAUGCUACAAUCAAAGGCCUUUACAAGGACAACUGAAGACAUCUGUGUUAUCGGAGGCAGGUACGAGUAUCGGUUGCGAGUCUAAGCGUAUUAUCUUUCCAUACUUAAAUCUCAAUAUACUGGGUUAUGUGUCCAAAAAUGGGUAUGAGUACGAGAACACGUCCUCUAAACUUAUUUGUAUUACAUGUAUAAUUUUCUCAGAUAAUAAGUUGUAAAUUAUUUAGAAAUUUAUUUAAAAUUGAUUAAAAUUAACAACCAAGUACCACCCAAUGAAACUAAAGCAUAGAAUCGAUUAAAAUAAAAUCCACUGAAUAUUGCAUUCAAUUUUACAUGUAAUUGCACAACAAAUUAAAAAAUCAGGACAAAUAAAAGCUCUGAUAGAGAGAGAGAAGGUACCGUGUAUUCUCUCUCCUCUCUCUCUCUCUUUCUCUCUCUGAAACUGAUUUAUAGGAACUGUAUUGGCGCUCAUGUUGUGGAGACUGAAAAACCAAAGCCCAAGUUUCUGGCAUCUAGCUAGAAUUGGAGGGGAGAAUGUACAAGUUCUACUGGUGCUGGAUUGGCUUGCGUGCGGCAGAGCCUGUACAGUUCGCCCAGUAAAUUUGAGUCCAAUUUCAUUCAGCCACUUGUACCAGUAUAAAAUGGGCCCCAACAAAUUGAUUCGAUAGGAACAAUUCAUGUAAAAAAAAAUUAUAAAAUUUAUUUAUUCGAUAAGGUAAAUUUAAUCGCCAAUCCCUGGAUUCUAUCAAAAAUCUUACUAUUCUUUGAAAUUACACUUCAUUUUCUAACUUUAUGAUUUUAUAUUAGAGUUUAGUCUAAUCAGUAUUUGGCAUUCUCUUAACCUAAUUGAAAUUGCUGACAUCAUCAAAAAUAUCUCACUAACUACCCAUUUUGCUAUUUUUUCUCAAAAGAACUACUAUAACCUCUACCAUAACCAUUUGAAUUCCACCUGCAUUGCCAUUAACCUAAACACAAUCAACAACAAACCAGCCAUCCAACAUCUCUACCACUCCAAAGGGUGAUAAGUGGGUUCGGUCCUGAUUUAGUGGAGGU
rnacentral:lncRNA from 1 species